ensembl:lncRNA
CCCCGGCCAGCUGUUGGGCAGGAGAGCCUGAGACGCUCUUUCCCCUCUCCGUGCUCAUAUUUACGAGGCAACGUGAUAAAUUCAGUAUUGAUCCCUUCUGCCGCGCGGUAAAUUUUGCAAGAAAAAAAAAAGAAAGAUUAAAUAGUUCAAUAGAGCCUGCGAGCACCGUGGCUCAAUAUGUUCCGGGACGGCGUAUCGACCCCUCCGUCCGACGGCAGCAACUUCCACUCCCAGCCCUGCCAGACCAGUAAUUAAAAUCCUGGGAGACUGGGAUUUAAAAAGCAAUCAUCUCACUGCGCCGAAGCUUAACGUCCCGCCGUGGCGAGGGCAAUAAGCGUGCGAGCGGCCGAGUGCUUAAGGGUAGUUCCCCCGUAGGGCAGGGGAGCAAAUUAGGUCCCUCUCGGAGUGGUCGUGGGCACGGUGACGUUGUGUUUGGGGUGUUUAACAGCUCCGCACACGUGGAGGGAGUGAGAGAGGAGGUGGGUCUUCGCUUUCCCUUCCCGUCGUGCUGCUGUGCAGGCAGAGGGUGGGCAGCACCGACCUUCGUCCCCAGUAGGAUCAGCCAGCUUGUUCUGUAAGGGGCUGUGGAGGACAGGAGGCUUUCCCGAGCCCAUGUGCGCCAGCACCGUCCACUGAGGCAGCUAAGAAAGGAGAUCCCGAGCCGUGGAGUCGUAGAAUGAUGAAGGAAGAGACCUCCAAGGUCUGUCUUGGUCAUUGAGAACCUUACGAACCGCUGAUUCUGGUGGCCCGGCGCAGCGCUUAACUGCAUCUGGACUCCUUCAGGCAGCAAAAUGGACCUCAUCGGCCAACAUCUGUUGCACAGCGACCGAACUGUGGGAACACUGUGGUUGGAAAUGACCUCCAAGAUCCCCAAAUCAACACCAACCCAUCCCCACCAUGUUUUGCUUGUAGAAUCGGAGUCAUUAAGGCUGGCAAUGACCUCCAACAUCCCCAGAUCCAACCACCAACCCAUCCCCACCAUGUUUGCUCAUAGAAUCGGAGCCAUUAAGGUUGGAAGUGACCUCCAAGAUCCCCAAAUCCAACCGCCAACCCAUCCCCACCGUGUUUGCUCAUAGAAUCAGAGCCAUUAAGGCUGGCAAUGAGCUCCAAGAUCCCCAAAUCCAACCGCCAACCCAUCCCCACCAUGUUUGCUUGUAGAAUCAGAGUCAUUAAGGUUGGAAGUGACCUCCAACAUCCCCAAAUCCAACUGCCAACCCAUCCCCACCAUGUUUGCUCAUAGAAUCGGAGUCAUUAAGCCUGACAAUGACCUCCAACAUCCCCAAAUCCAACCACCAACCCAUCCCCACCGUGUUUGCUCAGAGAAUCGGAGUCAUUAAGGCUGACAAUGACCUCCAAGAUCCCCAAAUCCAACCACCAACCCAUCCCCACUGUGUUUGCUCGUAGAAUCGGAGUCAUUAAGGCUGACAAUGACCUCCAAGAUCCCCAGAUCCAAACAACCCAUCCCCACCGUGUUUGCUCAGAGAAUCGGAGUCAUUAAGGCUGGCAAUGACCUCCAACAUCCCCAAAUCCAACCACCAACCCACCCCCACUGUGUUUGCUCAUAGAAUCGGAGUCAUUAAGGUUGGCAAUGACCUCCAGGAUCUCCAUGUCCAACCACCAACCCACCCCCACCGUGUUCGCUCGUAGAAUUGGAGUCAUUAAGCCUGACAAUGACCUCCAAGAUCCCCAUGUCCAACCAACCCAUCCCCACCGUGUUUGCUCAGAGAAUCGGAGUCAUUAAGGCUGGCAAUGACCUCCAAGAUCCCCAGAUCCAACCAACCCAUCCCCACCAUGUUUGCUCAGAGAAUCAGAGUCAUUAAGGUUGGAAGUGACCUCCAAGAUCCCCAAAUCCAACUGCCAACCCAUCCCCACCGUGUUUGGUCAUCGAAUCGGAGCCAUUAAGGUUGGAAGUGACCUCCAAGAUCCCCAAAUCCAACCGCCAACCCAUCCCCACCGUGUUUGCUCGUAGAAUCGGAGUUAUUAAGGCUGGCAAUGACCUCCAAGAUCCCCAAAUCCAACCAGCCCAUCCCCACCAGGCGUGCCAACCGUGCUCAUGUUGUGUCCCAUACAACCUCUCCAAGCAGCGCUGGCAGAAGCCGUGGCUGAGUAAUUUGCUCUUCAAUGUUAGCCCGCAUCCCAUCCCCCUACGAAUUCCUGCUCUUUACUUUCCAACUUGGCCGCUCUGGGUGUCUUUGGCAUCCUUUCCGUUCGGGUUCUCCCCCGUCCCCCCACUCAGCGUUGCUUUGGGCAGUCCAACCACCGUCGCUGGGAGGAGGAGGAGCUCCUGAAGCACAGCUGUGCUCCCUGGGGUCACUUUGCUGGAUUCCCACUCUGCCCUCGUAAUUCCCACCCAUCAUUUGGGUUGGAAGGGACCUUCCAAGGUCUUAGAAAGGCCCAGGUUGGAAGGCACCUCAAGGAUCAUGAAGCUCCAACCCCCAUCUGGUCCAGCACCCAAACUCUACCCGGCGCCUUGGAAAGCAGCGUUCUUUUCCCCUUGCUGCUCCUUGGGGGAGCGUUGUUCACGUUCUUUUGGGCUGGCAGCAGGGGCACAUCCUCAGCAGAGCUCAGCGUCAUCCAGCGAGCAGAACAGUGCCCAUUGACACAUCGCUGUCACUGAUGGAGGCGUGAGGGGGGGUCGGGCUCACAGGCUUGUGUGAACACGGCACGAUAAAAGCCUCUUGCAAACGACGUGUCUUAUUGAUUUAAGGAAAAAAAAACCCCAAAAAACCCAGGCCUACGUUACUGGCAAAAAAAGGGUGAUCAUGUUAAUUCAAUCACGGCGGGCUCAGGAGGACAGGAGUCCUUUCGUAUUACCGUAACUGGCCAUGUGCAGCAAUAAGAGUGUCAGGCCUUGUCAGAGCUGACGGCUGUUGGCACUGCGCAAUCCCAGCAGGUGCCGCGGGCUGCUCCCUGGAGCACACGCUGGCUCUCUGGUGAUGGAACACAGCCGUUGAAGAGGUGGGACCCGCCGUAGGCUGGAGCAUUUCCAGCCUCCCCUUGCUGGGAUUCAGUUUGCUUCACCUGAAAAGUGAGCCGAGAGGGAUUCGUCUGUGCUCCAGCGUCAGCGUGGGCUCUGCGCUGCUGGGCUGGGAAGGACCCAGGAGGGGCCGGGAUGACCCGGAGGGAUCCAGGAGGCAUUGAGGAACCCUCAGUGAGAUGAGUUCUGAAGCUGUUCGAAAUUGAGAAGAGCUCUGGGAGACCGGAGGUGGCUUUUUGCUGGUGGGAAUGGUGUUCUGUGCGUGCCGGGCUGAAGCUGUGCUGACUUCGUGCCCUUCCGCUUGGUUGCCACCUUCGCCAUCUUCAGGGCAGGGACAGAGGAGGAUAUAAGGAUGGUGGGCAUUCCUUGUCCCACUCGCAGAGGUUCUCCCAAGCUUCUCUGCGUCCAGGCUUUGGAGAAAUGCAGCUCUCUGGGUGCCCAUGUGGGCUGCUGGUGAAGUGAGGUCCAUUUUGCGUCUCUGGGGCAAUAGGGGAGGACAAGGAGUGAGGAUGGAGGACAGGGAGCGGGGAUGGAGGACAGGGAGUAAGGAUAGAGGACAAGGAGUAAGGAAGGAGGGCAGGGAGUAAGGAUGGAGGACAAGGAUAAGGGUGGAGGACAAGAAGCAAGGAUGGAGGACGUGGGUGGAGGACAGGGAAUGAGGAUGGAGGGCAUGGAUGGAGGACAAGAUGUAAGGAUGGAGGACAAGAUGUAAGGAUGGAGGGCAUGGAUGGAGGACAAGAUGUAAGGAUGGAGGACAAGAUGUAAGGAUGGAGGGCAUGGAUGGAGGGCAAGGAAUAAGAGUGGAGGACAGAGAAUAAGGGUGGAGGACAAGGAGUAAGGAUGGAGAGCAUGGAUGGAGGACAAGGAGUAAGGAUGGAGGACAAGGAAUAAGGAUGGAGGGUAUGGAUGCAGGACAAGGAUAAGGAUGGAGGACAGGGAUGGAGGACAAGGAGUAAGGAUGGAGGGCAUGGAUGGAGGACAGGGAAUAAGGAUGGAGGCCAUGGAUGGAGGACAAGGAAUAAGAGUGGAGGACAGAGAAUAAGGAUGGAGGACAAGGAGUAAGGAUGGAGGACGUGGAUGGAGGUCAAGGAAUAAGAAUGGAGGACAAAGGAGAAGAGUGGAGGACAGAGAGUAAGAAUGGAGGACAUGUAGCAAGGAUGGAGGAUAUGGGUGGAGGACAAGGUACAAAGAUGGAGGACAAGGAUAAGGAUGGAGGACAAGGAUAAGGAUGGAGGGCAAAGACAAGGGUGGAGGACAGGAAAUAAGGUUGGAGGACAGGGAGUAAGGAAGGAGGACAAGGAGCAAGGAUGGAGGACAGGGAGCAAGGAUGGAGGACAGGGAGUAAGGAAGGAAGACAAGGAGCAAGGAUGGAGGACAGGGAGUAAGGAAGGAGGACAAGGAGCAAGGAUGGAGGACAGGAAAUAAGGAUGGAGGACAGGGAGCAAGGAUGGAGGGUAUGGAACAAGGAUGGAGGACAGGGAGCGGGGAUGGAGGACAGGGAGUAAGGAUAGAGGACAGGGAGUAAGGAAGGAGGGCAGGGAGUAAGGAUGGAGGACAAGGAUAAGGAUGGAGGACAAGAAGCAAGGAUGGAGGACGUGGAUGGAGGACGGAAUAAGGAUGGAGGGCAUGGAUGGAGGACAAGAUGUAAGGAUGGAGGACAAAGAUAAGGGUGGAAGACAGGAAUAAGGAUGGAGGACAGGGUUGGAGGACGAGGAUUAAGGAUGGAGGACAAGGAGUAAGGAUGGAGGACAUGGAUGGAGGAUGCAGGACAAGGAUAAGGAUGGAGGACAGGGAUGGAGGACAAGGAGUAAAGAUGGAGGACAGGGAGUAAGGAUGGAGGACAGGGAUGAGGAUGCAGGACAAGGAUAAGGAUGGAGGACAGGGAUGGAGGACAAGGAUAAGGAUGGAGCAUAAGGAGUAAGGAUGGAGGGCAUGGAUGGAGGACGUGGCACAAGGAUGCAGGACAAGGAUAAGGAUGGAGGACAGGGAUGGAGGGCAAGGAGUAAGGAUGGAGGAUAAGGAGUAAGGAUGGAGGACAAGGAGUAAGGAUGGAGGAUGUGGCAGAAGGAUGCAGGACAAGGAUAAGGAUGGAGGACAGGGAUGGAGGACAACGAGUAAGGAUGGAGGACAUGGAUGGAGGACAUGGCACAAGGAUGCAGGACAAUGAUAAGGAUGGAGGACAGGGAUGGAGGGCAAGGAGUAAGGAUGGAGCAUAAGGAGUAAGGAUGGAGGACGUGGCAGAAGGACGCAGUACAAGGAUAAGGAUGGAGGGCAGGGAUGGAGGACAAGGAGUAAAGAUGGAGGACAUGGGUGGAGGACGUGGCACAAGGACACAGGACAAGGAUAAGGAUGGAGGACAGGGAUGAGGAUGCAGGAUAAGGAUAAGGAUGGAGGACAGGGAUGGAGGUCAAGGAGUAAGGAUGGAGGACAAGGAUAAGGAUGGAGGACAUGGCAAAAGGAGGCAGGACAAGGAUAAGGAUGGAGGACAGGGAUGGAGGACAACGAGUAAGGAUGGAGGACGUGGGUGGAGGAUAUGGCACAAGGAUGCAGGACAAGGAUAAGGAUGGAGGACAGGGAUGGAGGACAAGGAGUAAGGAUGGAGGACAUGGAUGGAGGAUGUGGCACAAGGAUGUAGGACAAGGAUGAGGAUGGAGGGUAGGGAUGGAGGACAAGGAGUAGGGAUGGAGGAUAAGGAGUAAGGAUGGAGGACAUGGCACAAGGAUGCAGGACAAUGAUAAGGGUGCAGGACAGGGAUGGAAGUCAAGGAGUAAGGAUGGAGGAUGUGGCACAAGGACGCAGGACAAGGAUAAGGAUGGAGGACAGGGAUGGAGGACAAGGAGUAGGGAUGGAGGAUAAGGAGUAAGGAUGGAGGACACGGCACAAGGAGGCAGGAUAAGGAUAAGGAUGGAGGACAUGGAUGGAUGACAUGGCACAAGGACACAGGACAAGGAUAAGGAUGGAGGACAGGGAUGGAAGUCAAGGAGUAAGGAUGGAGGACAUGGAUGGAGGACGUGGCAGAAGGAUGCAGGACAAGGAUAAGGGUGCAGGACAGGGAUAAGGGUGCAGGACAGGGAUAAGGAUGCAGGACAGGGAUAAGGGUGCAGGACAGGGAUAAGGAUGCAGGACAGGGAUAAGGGUGCAGGACAGGGAUAAGGGUGCAGGACAAGGAUAAGGGUGCAGGACAGGGAUAAGGGUGCAGGACAGGGAUAAGGAUGGAGGACAGGGAUAAGGAUGCAGGACAGGGAUAAGGGUGCAGGACAGGGAUAAGGGUGCAGGACAGGGAUAAGGGUGGAGGGCAGGGAUACGGGUGCAGGACAGGGAUAAGGAUGGAGGACAUGGAUGGAGGACGUGGCAGAAGGAUGCAGGACAAGGAUAAGGAUGCAGGACAAGAAUAAGGAUGCAGGACCGGGAUAAGGAUGCAGGACAGGGAUAAGGGUGCAGGACAGGGAUAAGGAUGGAGGACAGGGAUAAGGGUGCAGGACAGGGAUAAGGAUGGAGGACAGGGAUAAGGGUGCAGGACAGGGAUAAGGGUGCAGGACAGGGAUAAAGGGAUAAGGAUGGAGGACAGAGAUAAGGGUGCAGGACAGGGAUAAGGGUGCAGGACA